CCUACGGGUGGCAGCAGUGAGGAAUAUUGGUCAAUGGGCGCGAGCCUGAACCAGCCAAGCCGCGUGAGGGAAGACGGUCCUAAGGAUUGUAAACCUCUUUUGUCGGGGAGCAAAAGACGCCACGCGUGGCGUUCCGAGAGUACCCGAAGAAAAAGCAUCGGCUAACUCCGUGCCAGCAGCCGCGGUAAUACGGAGGAUGCGAGCGUUAUCCGGAUUUAUGGGGGUUAAAGGGUGCGCAGGCGGACGAUCAAGUCAGCGGUAAAAUUGAGAGGCUCAACCUCGUCGAGCCGUUGAAACUGGUUUUCUUGAGUGGGCGAGAAGUAUGUGGAAUGCGUGGUGUAGCGGUGAAAUGCAUAGAUAUCACGCAGAACUCCGAUUGCGAAGGCAGCAUACCGGCGCUCAACUGACGCUCAUGCACGAAAGUGUGGGUAUCGAACAGGAUUAGAUACCCUUGUAGUC
rnacentral:rRNA from 1 species